GACGAACGCUGGCGGCGUGCCUAAUACAUGCAAGUUGAGCGCUGAAGGUUGGUACUUGUACCAACUGGAUGAGCAGCGAACGGGUGAGUAACGCGUGGGGAAUCUGCCUUUGAGCGGGGGACAACAUUUGGAAACGAAUGCUAAUACCGCAUAAAAACUUUAAACACAAGUUUUAAGUUUGAAAGAUGCAAUUGCAUCACUCAAAGAUGAUCCCGCGUUGUAUUAGCUAGUUGGUGAGGUAAAGGCUCACCAAGGCGAUGAUACAUAGCCGACCUGAGAGGGUGAUCGGCCACAUUGGGACUGGGACACGGCCCAAACUCCUACGGGAGGCAGCAGUAGGGAAUCUUCGGCAAUGGACGAAAGUCUGACCGAGCAACGCCGCGUGAGUGAAGAAGGGUUUCGGAUCGUAAAACUCUGUUGGUAGAGAAGAACGUUGGUGAGAGCGGAAAGCUCAUCAAGUGACGGUAACUACCCAGAAAGGGACGGCUAACUACGUG
rnacentral:rRNA from 1 species